rnacentral:rRNA from 1 species
AUUGAACGCUGGCGGCAGGCCUAACACAUGCAAGUCGAACGCGUGGCGGACGGGUGAGUAAUGUCUGGGAAACUGCCUGAUGGCGGGGGAUAAAUACUGGAAAAGGUAGCUAUUACCGCAUACCAUCGGAUGUGCCCAGAUGGGAUUUGCUAGUAGGUGGGGUAAAGGCUCACCUAGGCGACGAUCCCUCGCUGGUCUGAGAGGAUGACCAGCCACACUGGAACUGAAACACGGUCCAGACUCCUACGGGAGGCAGCAGUGGGGAAUAUUGCACAAUGGGGGCAACCCUGAUGCAGCCAUGCCGCGUGUAUGAAGAAGGCCUUCGGGUUGUAAAGUACUUUCAGCGAGGAGGCGUUACCCGCAGAAGAAGCACCGGCUAACUCCGUGCCAGCAGCCGCGGUAAUAC